UACGGAGGGUGCGAGCGUUGUCCGGAAUCAUUGGGCGUAAAGGGCGCGUAGGUGGCCCGGUCAGUCUUUGGUGAAAGCCCGGGGCUCAACCCCGGGAGGCGGAUGGAUACUGUCAGGCUCGAGUCCGGAAGAGGCGAGUGGAAUUCCAGGUGUAGCGGUGAAAUGCGCAGAUAUCUGGAGGAACACCAAUGGCGAAGGCAGCUCGCUGGGACGGUACUGACGCUGAGACGCGAAAGCGUGGGGAGCAAACAGG
rnacentral:rRNA from 1 species